CCACUGGGACCUGACUGGCACGUACCCAGUGCUGAGCCAAUCACUGUGGCCAGGGAGGAUGGCCAGAUUGAGGUCGUGUGACCACCCUCCCUAAGGAAAAACUCCUGAGCCGUUCAACCUGAUUUCCAGGGUGGGAGUGAACCUGAGAGAACAGAGGAAAGACGUCAAAAUCAUAAGCACGGUGUGGAACUGGAUUACCACUCCCCCAUAUUCGGUGCCCUGUAUCGAAGUGCCCUGCUCGGUUGGAGGAUUAUACAGCACGGCCCAUGUUAUCCUCAGGCAUGGCAGAGGGGCUGCUGAACAGUGAAAACAGAUGUGAGCACACGCGUUAAGAACCAGGCUGAGGACCGGUGCUGGGUCUGAUGGGCUACUACGAGACAGGAAGACCAGCAACCCCCUGUCUUGGUCCUUCCAGGAGAAGCCUGUGUGGUCACUGACCUCUGUCGCCCUCCCCUCCCUGACAGGAACAGACAAACUUCCCCCUCUGGCCUGAGACACAGUAACUCCAAGCCACCUGUAGCAGCCUGGACCCCACCACAGAACUCUGCAGGUAGCCCUUCCAGAAAGCGCAGGCUGCCCAGAAUUCUUACAGCAGCGACCAUGUUCUUUUUAAAACUGACAGAACUUCCCAAGUUCGGAAGCUCCUAGGGGAUUAGCUGGUCACACAUCAAACCCAUCCGGGGAGCUUUGAAAAAUGAAGGUGCACGCGAACAGACAUUUCACCAAAGAAGAUACGCGGCUGGCAGGUAAACACACGUAACAAUAAUGGUCGACAACAUGGGCCAUCAGUGAGAUGCACCCCAAAACCACAGUGAGCUCUCGCCCCGUAGCUAUUAGAGUGGCUGAUGUAAAAAAAAAAAAAAAAAAAAAAUAGUAGCAGCAUG